CCAAUAGCGUAUAUUAAAGUUGUUGCAGUUAAAAAGCUCGUAGUUGAAUUUCGGGAUCAAUCUAUCGGUCGUGCAAUAGUACGUACUGAUUUUAUUGAUUCCUCCCUUCUGAUGAACUAUGAUGUCAUUAAUUUGGUGUUAUGGGGAAUCAGGACUGUUACUUUGAAAAAAUUAGAGUGUUUAAAGCAGGCUCACGCUUGAAUACAUUAGCAUGGAAUAAUGAAAUAGGACGUUUGAUUCUAUUUUGUUGGUUUCUAGGAUCGACGUAAUGAUUAAUAGGGAUAGUUGGGGGCAUUAGUAUUCAAUUGUCAGAGGUGAAAUUCUUGGAUUUAUUGAAGACUAACUACUGCGAAAGCAUUUGCCAAGGAUGUUUUCAUUAAUCAAGAACGAAAGUUAGGGGAUCGAAGACGAUCAGAUACCGUCGUAGUCUUAGCCAUAAACUAUGCCGACUAGGGAUCGGAUGAUGUUAAUUUUUUAAUGGCUCAUUCGGCGCCUUACG
rnacentral:rRNA from 1 species